GACGAACGCUGGCGGCGUGCUUAACACAUGCAAGUCGAACGCUGAUGGCCCAGCUUGCUGGGUUGGAUGAGUGGCGAACGGGUGAGUAACACGUGAGUAACCUGCCCUCUUCUUUGGGAUAACGGUCGGAAACGGCUGCUAAUACCGGGUAUUCACUGUCCUUCGCAUGGGGGGUGGUGGAAAGGUUUUUUUCUGGUGGGGGAUGGGCUCGCGGCCUAUCAGCUUGUUGGUGAGGUGAUGGCUUACCAAGGCUUUGACGGGUAACCGGCCUGAGAGGGUGACCGGUCACAUUGGGACUGAGAUACGGCCCAGACUCCUACGGGAGGCAGCAGUGGGGAAUAUUGCACAAUGGGCGAAAGCCUGAUGCAGCGACGCCGCGUGAGGGAUGGAGGCCUUCGGGUUGUAAACCUCUUUCGCUCAUGGUCAAGCCGCAACAGUGGUUGUGGUGAGGGUAGUGGGUAAAGAAGCACCGGCUAACUACGUGCCAGCAGCCGCGGUAAUACGUAGGGUGCGAGCGUUGUCCGGAAUUAUUGGGCGUAAAGGGCUUGUAGGCGGUUUGUCGCGUCUGCCGUGAAAUCCUCUGGCUUAACUGGGGGCGUGCGGUGGGUACGGGCAGGCUUGAGUGCGGUAGGGGAGACUGGAACUCCUGGUGUAGCGGUGGAAUGCGCAGAUAUCAGGAAGAACACCGGUGGCGAAGGCGGGUCUCUGGGCCGUUACUGACGCUGAGGAGCGAAAGCGUGGGGAGCGAACAGG
rnacentral:rRNA from 1 species